rnacentral:rRNA from 1 species
ACUCCUACGGGAGGCAGCAGUGGGGAAUAUUGCACAAUGGGCGCAAGCCUGAUGCAGCCAUGCCGCGUGUAUGAAGAAGGCCUCGGUUGUAAAGUACUUCUAGCAGUGAGGAAGGCGGAGUCGUUAAUAGCGGCCUCGUUUGUACGUUAGCUGCAGAAGAAGCACCGGCUAACUCCGUGCCAGCAGCCGCGGUAAUACGGAGGGUGCGAGCGUUAAUCGGAAUUACUGGGCGUAAAGCGCAUGCAGGUGGUUUGUUAAGUCAGAUGUGAAAGCCCGGGGGCUCAACCUCGGAAUUGCAUUUGAAACUGGCAGACUAGAGUACUGUAGAGGGGGUAGAAUUUCAGGUGUAGCGGUGAAAUGCGUAGAGAUCUGAAGGAAUACCGGUGGCGAAGGCGGCCCCCUGGACAGAUACUGACACUCAGAUGCGAAAGCGUGGGGAGCAAACAGGAUUAGAUACCCUGGUAGGAUAGCG